rnacentral:rRNA from 1 species
AACGGCCAUACCAUGCUGAAUAUACCGGUUCUCGUUAGAUCACCGAAGUCAAGCAUCAUUGAGCGCGGUCAGUACUUGGGUGGGUGACCACCUGGGAACACCGCGUGCCGUU